rnacentral:rRNA from 1 species
GAGUCUGACGGAGCACGCCGCGUGAGCGAAGAAGGCCUUCGGGUCUGUAAAGCUCUGUUGUAAGGGAAGAACAAGCAUCGGUUAACUGCCGGUGCCCUGACGGUACCUUACCAGAAAGCCACGGCUAACUACGUGCCAGCAGCCGCGGUAAUACGUAAGUGGCAAGCGUUGUCCGGAAUUAUUGGGCGUAAAGCGCGCGCAGGCGGUCCUUUAAGUCUGAUGUGAAAGCCCACGGCUCAACCGUGGAGGGUCAUUGGAAACUGGGGGACUUGAGUGCAGAAGAGGAAAGCGGAAUUCCACGUGUAGCGGUGAAAUGCGUAGAGAUGUGGAGGAACACCAGUGGCGAAGGCGGCUUUCUGGUCUGUAACUGACGCUGAGGCGCGAAAGCGUGGGGAGCAAACAGGAUUAGAUACCCUGGUAGUCCACGCCGUAAACGAUGAGUGCUAAGUGUUAGGGGGUUUCCGCCCCUUAGUGCUGCAGCUAACGCAUUAAGCACUCCGCCUGGGGAGUACGGCCGCAAGGCUGAAACUCAAAGGAAUUGACGGANCC